GAUGAACGCUGGCGGCGUGCCUAAUACAUGCAAGUCGAGCGAACAGACGAGGAGCUUGCUCCUCUGACGUUAGCGGCGGACGGGUGAGUAACACGUGGAUAACCUACCUAUAAGACUGGGAUAACUUCGGGAAACCGGAGCUAAUACCGGAUAAUAUAUUGAACCGCAUGGUUCAAUAGUGAAAGACGGUUUUGCUGUCACUUAUAGCUGGAUCCGCGCCGCAUUAGCUAGUUGGUAAGGUAACGGCUUACCAAGGCAACGAUGCGUAGCCGACCUGAGAGGGUGAUCGGCCACACGGGAACUGGGACACGGUCCAGACUCCUACGGGAGGCAGCAGUAGGGAUUCUGCCGCAAUGGGCGAAAGCCUGACGGAGCAACGCCGCGUGAGUGAUGAAGGUCUUCGGAUCGUAAAACUCUGUUAUUAGGGAAGAACAAAUGUGUAAGUAACUAUGCACGUCUUGACGGUACCUAAUCAGAAAGCCACGGCUAACUACGUG
rnacentral:rRNA from 1 species